AGAGUGAUAUGCUUAGAAAAGAGAUUAAGCCAUGCAGAUUUGAAUACAGUAUUAUACAGCGAAAUUGUGAAUGGCUCAUUAAAAUAGUUAUAGACUACACGAUAUUGUUACCUAUAAGGAUAACCGUGGUAACCUAGGGCUAAUACUUGCAUAAAGACCUUCGGGUUGUACUUAUUGGCUAUUACCAAGCGAUUCGCUAGUGGACACACAAUAAUUGAUCGGAGGGGUAUAUGUUACCCCUAAAUCGCUCGUGUUUCUACCCUAUCAACUUGAUUUUAGUGUAUUGGACUAAAAUGGUUUUCACGGGUAACGGAGAAUUGGGGUUCGAUUCCGGAGAAGGAGCCUGAGAAACGGCUACUACGAAUACGUUAGGCAGCAGGCGCGUAAAUUACCCAAUCGAGACACUCGGAGGUAGUUAUUUUCAAUAUGAUACCAGUCCUUCACGGACUAGUUUUCAAAUGGAUUAGCAUUAAAUAUGCUUUUGAAACCUAAAUGAGGACAAGUCUGGUGCCAGCACCCGCGGUAACUCCAGCUCAUUUAGCGUAUCUUUAUGUUGUUGCAGUUAAAAAGCUCGUAGUCGAAUUUCUGGCCAGGAGACGACAAACACACCGUUCGGAUCCUAGGUCAUCCCCCCAUGAUUGCAUAUGGGCCUUCAUUGGAUCCUGUGUUGGAUUGGGGACUUUACUUUGAGAAAAUUAGAGUGUUUCAAGCAGGCUUUCGCUUGGAUACUACAGCAUGGAAUAAUGGAAUAGGUCUGAAUUUAUUUCUUGGUUCGUAAAUUCAGAAAUGAUUAAUAGAAUCAGUUGGGGCCAUUUGUAUUCGUUGGUCAGAGGUGAAAUUCUUCGAUUCAACGAGGACAAACUGAUGCGAAGGCGUCUGGCAAGGAUGUUUUCAUUGAUCAAGAACGAAGGUUGAGGGAUCAAAGACUAUUAGACACAGUCGUAGUCUCAACAGUAAACUAUGCCAUUCCGGGAUUGGAUGAGCAAUAACUCAUUCAGCACCGUGUGGGAAACCAUUGAAACUUUGGGUUCUGGGGGGAGUAUGGUCGCAAGGCUGAAACUUAAAGAAAUUGACGGAAAAUUACCACCAGCAGUGGAGCCUGCGGCUUAAUUUGAUUCAACACGGGAAAACUUACUAGGACAAGAGAGUUGUAGGAUUGUCAAACUAAAAGCUUUUACUUGAUCUGCUCGUUUCUGGUGCAUGGCCGUUCUCAGUUGGUGGAGUGAUUUGUCAGGUUAAUUCCCUUAACGAACGAGACCUUAACCUGCUAACUAGAAGCAGUUAAAUUUUAGCUGUAUUCUUCUUAGAGGGACUACUGCUCCUAAAGCAGUGGAAGUUUGAGGCAAUAACAGGUCCGUGAUGCCGAUAGAUGCCCUAGGCCGCACGCGUGCUACACUGAUAGGUGCAACGAGUUUUAUCCUUGCCUGAGAAGGUUAGGGUAAUCUACAAAAAGCCUAUCGUGCUAAGGAUUGUUCUUUGCAAUUUUGGAACAUGAAUGAGGAACUGCUUGUAAGGAUGAAUCAUUAUCUCGUCCUGAAUACGUCCCUGACUUUUGUACACACCGCCCGUCGCUCCUACCGAUUUUGAGUGAUCCGGUAAACUUUCUGGAUAUUGUGGUUUUAACCGACGAUAGAAGUUACGUGAACCUUAUCACUUAGAGGAAGGAGAAGUCGUAACAAGGUACCGGUAGAGGAAUCUGCUCGGU
rnacentral:rRNA from 1 species